UGGGGAAUAUUGCACAAUGGGGGAAACCCUGAUGCAGCGACGCCGCGUGGGUGAGGAAGUAUUUCGGUAUGUAAAGCCCUAUCAGCAGGGAAGAAGAUGACAGUACCUGACUAAGAAGCCCCGGCUAACUACGUGCCAGCAGCCGCGGUAAUACGUAGGGGGCAAGCGUUAUCCGGAUUUACUGGGUGUAAAGGGAGCGCAGGUGGCAAGGCAAGCCAGAAGUGAAAACCCGGGGCUUAACCCCGCGGAUUGCUUUUGGAACUGUCUGGCUGGAGUGCAGGAGGGGCAGGCGGAAUUCCUGGUGUAGCGGUGAAAUGCGUAGAUAUCAGGAGGAACACCGGUGGCGAAGGCGGCCUGCUGGACUGUAACUGACACUGAGGCUCGAAAGCGUGGGGAGCAAACAGG
rnacentral:rRNA from 1 species